GACGAACGCUGGCGGCGUGCUUAACACAUGCAAGUCGGACGAUGAAAGCGGGAGCUUGCUCCUGCUGGAUUAGUGGCGAACGGGUGAGUAACACGUGAGCAAUCUGCCCCGAACUCUGGGAUAAGCGUUGGAAACGACGUCUAAUACCGGAUACGACGCGCGAAGGCAUCUUCUGCGCGUGGAAAGAAUUUCGGUUCGGGAUGAGCUCGCGGCCUAUCAGCUAGUUGGUGAGGUAAUGGCUCACCAAGGCGACGACGGGUAGCCGGCCUGAGAGGGUGACCGGCCACACUGGGACUGAGACACGGCCCAGACUCCUACGGGAGGCAGCAGUGGGGAAUAUUGCACAAUGGGCGCAAGCCUGAUGCAGCAACGCCGCG
rnacentral:rRNA from 1 species